rnacentral:rRNA from 1 species
UGGGGAACUUUGGACAAUGGGCGAAAGCCUGAUCCAGCAAUGCCGCGUGUGUGAAGAAGGCCUUCGGGUUGUAAAGCACUUUUUGUCCGGAAAGAAAUCCUUGGCUCUAAUACAGUCGGGGGGAUGACGGUACCGGAAGAAUAAGCACCGGCUAACUACGUGCCAGCAGCCGCGGUAAUACGUAGGGUGCAAGCGUUAAUCGGAAUUACUGGGCGUAAAGCGUGCGCAGGCGGUUUGCUAAGACCGAUGUGAAAUCCCCGGGCUCAACCUGGGAACUGCAUUGGUGACUGGCAGGCUAGAGUAUGGCAGAGGGGGGUAGAAUUCCACGUGUAGCAGUGAAAUGCGUAGAGAUGUGGAGGAAUACCGAUGGCGAAGGCAGCCCCCUGGGCCAAUACUGACGCUCAUGCACGAAAGCGUGGGGAGCAAACAGGAUUAGAUACCCUGGUAGUCCACGCCCUAAACGAUGUCAACUAGUUGUUGGGGAUUCAUUUCCUUAGUAACGUAGCUAACGCGUGAAGUUGACCGCCUGGGGAGUACGGUCGCAAGAUUAAAACUCAAAGGAAUUGACGGGGUCAUAGCUGUUUCCU